AGAGUUUGAUCCUGGCUCAGAUUGAACGCUGGCGGCAGGCCUAACACAUGCAAGUCGAGCGGGGUUUUCGGACCUAGCGGCGGACGGGUGAGUAAUGCGUAGGAAGCUGCCCGAUAGAGGGGGAUACCAGUUGGAAACGACUGUUAAUACCGCAUAAUGUCUACGGACCAAAGUGUGGGACCUUCGGGCCACAUGCUAUCGGAUGCGCCUACGUGGGAUUAGCUCAGUUGGUGAGGUAAUGGCUCACCAAGGCGACGAUCUCUAGCUGGUUUGAGAGGAUGAUCAGCCACACUGGAACUGAGACACGGUCCAGACUCCUACGGGAGGCAGCAGUGGGGAAUAUUGGACAAUGGGCGCAAGCCUGAUCCAGCCAUGCCGCGUGUGUGAAGAAGGCCUUCGGGUUGUAAAGCACUUUCAGCGAGGAGGAAGGGUGGUGUG
rnacentral:rRNA from 1 species